AUGGGCUCCACGACCUUCUUUGUGGUCUUGAGCCUUCUCUAUGCAAAACCCAUGGAGGCUGCAGUCACCCAAAGCCCAAGAAACAAGGUGACAGUUACAGGAAAAAAUGUGACGUUCAACUGUCACCAGACUGAUGACCACAACUACAUGUACUGGUAUCGGCAGGACAUGGGGCAUGGUCUGAGGCUGAUCCAUUACUCAUAUGGUUCUGGCAGAAUUGAAAAUGGAGAUAUCCCUGAGGGGUACAAGGUCUCCAGACCAAACCAAGAAAAUUUCUUCCUCACGCUGGAGUCUGCUUCCCCCUCUCAGACAUCUGUGUACUUCUGUGCCAGCAGUGAUGCACAGCAGUGCAUGGCCUCCUCCCCUCUGCACAGAAAGGAAAUUAGGAAAACCACUUGCGUGUGUGCCUCAGGAAGUCCCUGCCUCUAUAAGAGUUGCUGA